CCGGUUGCCGGCCCCGCCGCCGCGUCCCUGCCCGGGAGCCCCGCCUGGAACCGCCGUUCGCGGUGGGGAGGGCCCGGAAGGAGGCGGCGCUGACCCUGAGGGGACGGGGCCGGGCGGAAGGCGUGACCUGACCCUCGGGGAGAAUUGGAAAAUAGAGGGAAAGUGGAAGGAACACCCACAGUUGCACCACUUGAACAUAAUUUUCCACCUGUGUUCAUUCCCUUCAGGAUGUGCUUGAAAACAUGGGUGUUUUAAACUAAGAAGCACUGGAACCCACACACUGAGAGGAGAGCCACUGAAAGUUUAUUUUUCCAUUCAAGGUGAGUGUUUCAGAAGAGCUUUCCCUAAAAGUGAUUUGAAAUUACUUUGGAAACAGAGGGAAGGAAUGUCUGCACAAAGUCUCCCCUUAGAUGUCCUUGUGAUUUUUAUUCUCAGUGUCUUUGUAUCUUCUCACUAUAUCUCAUUGAUUCUUGUGGGGCUUAUUACCACGUUAGGUAAAUAAUAUGCUGUCAGACAAGAUAUGUGGGCAUCCAUUGGUUUUUGCAUCUCUCCUCCUUCUGGAGACAGCAUGCCAAUUUUCCUCUGGAGAACCAUCUCUGUGCAUACUCAGUCCCUGUAGUUUGCAGGAAAGAGGCUGGUUCAGGGCUGGUCUAAGACCCAUUGUGAGUGACCGUAGUCAUAGUGUUUAGUUCAUCAGUGAGUAUGUGGCUCAUACUGGGCCAGUCAAAGCCAGUGGCAUCUGCUGAGGUUUUUGCUGAGAUGUUCUCUUUCUGUGGAGGUUGCUAAAUUACAAAGAUAUAAGUAGCUGCUGACACUACCACCUAGAGAUGACCCACUGGGAAUGACGCCACAACAGAGGAGAAAAAUGUAAGAG